GACGAACGCUGGCGGCGUGCCUAAUACAUGCAAGUCGAACGAACCGCGACUGAGUGCUUGCACUUGGUCAAGGUGAGUGGCGAACGGGUGAGUAACACGUGGGUAACCUACCUCAUAGUGGGGGAUAACAGUCGGAAACGACUGCUAAUACCGCAUAGGACAUGGAAUCACAUGAUUCUGUGAGGAAAGGUGGCGCAAGCUAUCGCUAAGAGAUGGACCCGCGGUGCAUUAGCUAGUUGGUAGGGUAAGGGCCUACCAAGGCGAUGAUGCAUAGCCGACCUGAGAGGGUGAUCGGCCACAUUGGGACUGAGACACGGCCCAAACUCCUACGGGAGGCAGCAGUAGGGAAUCUUCCGCAAUGGACGCAAGUCUGACGGAGCAACGCCGCGUGAGUGAAGAAGGUCUUUGGAUCGUAAAGCUCUGUUGUUAGAGAAGAACAGCGCAUAGAGUAACUGUUAUGCGUGUGACGGUAUCUAAACAGAAAGCCACGGCUAACUACGUG
rnacentral:rRNA from 1 species